AGAAUCAACGCUGGCGGCGUGCCUAACACAUGCAAGUCGAACGCGAAAGGGGAGCAAUCCCUGAGUAGAGUGGCAAACGGGUGAGUAACACGUGGGUGACCUGCCUUCGAGUGGGGGAUAACGUCCCGAAAGGGACGCUAAUACCGCAUGACAUCCUGUCUUUGAAUAGACGGAGAUCAAAGCUGGGGAUCGCAAGACCUGGCGCUUGAAGAGGGGCCCGCGCCUGAUUAGCUAGUUGGUGAGGUAACGGCUCACCAAGGCAACGAUCAGUA
rnacentral:rRNA from 1 species